AACGAACGCUGGCGGCAGGCUUAACACAUGCAAGUCGAACGGGUGUAGCAAUACAUCAGUGGCAGACGGGUGAGUAACACGUGGGAACCUUCCUAGGGGUACGGAACAACUCAGGGAAACUUGCGCUAAUACCGUAUACGUCCGUGAGGAGAAAGAUUUAUCGCCCUUAGACGGGCCCGCGUCGGAUUAGGUAGUUGGUGGGGUAACGGCCUACCAAGCCUACGAUCCGUAGCUGAUCUGAGAGAAUGAUCAGCCACACUGGGACUGAGACACGGCCCAGACUCUUACGGUAGGCAGCAGUGGGGAAUCUUGGACAAUGGGCGAAAGCCUGAGCCGACCAUGCCGCGUGAAUGAAGAAGGCCUUAGGGUUGUAGAGCUCUUUUGCCAGGGACGAUAAUGACGGUACCUGGAGAAUAAGCCCCGGCAAACUUCGUGCCAGCCGCCGCGGUAAAAC
rnacentral:rRNA from 1 species